ACCUGACUUGUGCGCCAAUUGAUGAUACGUAUGGAUGAAGUGAUUACAGUUAGAAUCUAUUGAUGAUACGUAUGGAUGCAGUGAGUACAGUUAGAAGCUAUUGAUGAUACGUAUGGAUGAAGUGAUUACAGUUAGAAUCUAUUGAUGAUACGUAUGGAUGCAGUGAGUAAGUAAUAACGUGUGAUGCAGCAAUAGGAGUGGAAGGCGGUUGUAUCCCUAAUUCCCACAUCAUUGCCUCAUGGUAUUAUGGUGGAUAUACUGGCUUUGCUCCAUGGCGUGGGCGUUCAAACAAUCAACCAGCACUGCCAUAUUUUAACAAAGCAGAUGCAGGUGCCUGGGUCGCUCACCAACGAUCUUCAGGAGAGUAUUUACAAAUAGACGCUGGGCGUAGCUUUUAGCUUAUUAAGAUAGCUACACAAGGAAGACCAUAUGCCUAUAACAGCUGGUCGACUUCUAACACCUUGGCUUACGGUGAUAAUUGGCAGUAAUGGACGGACUAUAUAAUUCAAGGACAAUAAAAGGGACACUUUUGUAAGCCACAAACUUUCUCGGCUGAUCAAGACUCGGUUUGUAAGGUUUAUUGUCCUUAAUUGGUAUGGUCGCAUUGCCCUCAGAGUAGAGUUGUAUACUAUGCAAAAGUGCCUUGGGUCUGCCUAAUCUGCAGUGAUGAACACCAAUACAAGUCUUGCAUGCUUGCAGAAUAUAUUAGCUAGCAGAGUACAAUACAUACAACUAAAUCACUUGGAAGCAGGAAAAAAAUCUCUUCAUUUAGAAAAUAGUCAUUAUCAAAUAGUUAUGCGCAUAUAUGGAACAAAAACCAUGCCUAUCCAAAAUCACGUGACAAUAAAAAAAUAGAAGGUCUUUUGCAUAAUUUUUAACAAAUAAAACAGCUUUUUAAUAAUUUUAUUUCGAUAUUGAAUUUAUUUAGGCAAAAACUAUAUAAUAAACAAAUACAAAACAUCAUAAACAUCAAUAAAUAUAGACUAAUUUACAUUAUAUCCUUAUAAAGUUUAUACGUCACAUUUCUCAAACUCACUGUAAUAGCCAGAAAAAUAUAUUUAUAGUGAGCUAGACCGGAAAAAAAUGUUUUCGUUUUGAUAUGGACUAUUAUUUCACAAUAUUAUUUGCAGAAGGCGAAGUGAUUAUCGGUGGAAUAUUUACCGAGCCCUAAGUCUUCGAGAGGCAAGGUAAAUAUUACCAUAUUCACUGAGCCUGAGGGUAAUAAUCGUUUUAGUAAAAUUUUAGAUUUGAACAUCAGAGAAAAGUGGAAAUUCAGGAUAAAAAAACGUUUAGUAUUACUUCCAAUUUGGAAAACUUUUGAAAACCUUAUGAUCACCACUCCAGCAGUGAUCAUCGUCUCAGAAUCACUUGACCAAUCACGGCCAGCUAUAUUCAAACUAUAUUCAAAUCUAAAAUUAUACUAAAACAAUAUAGUUAGAGGAACCUCUGUGACUAACCAAAAUAAAGGGGGGACAUGGCUCCUUGCACCCACCUCUAAAUCUCUCUAAUGGCCAUGUUAUAAAGCACCCUGACUGGUAACUGGUACUAAUGACAAUGUUAUAAAGCACCCUGACUGAUAUUAGAUUAAUGGUUACUUCACUGAGUAAUUCAAGACUAAUUUCUACUGAAAAAGAACACAACAAUAUAAUUUAUACAAUAUCAUGAGAUUACAAUCUGCUGAACAGGAGAAAAUAUGUGUAGAAGGCUGCUCAGUCAUUUAACACUGUAUACCCAGUAGUUAUUUAAAAAUAUAUUCAUUUGUAUUUAAUGUUGGUUCUGCACAUCCAUUAACUAUUAAACAUCUGUUGUUCUGAAA